CAAAUAUUAAAAAUGCUUUCAUCAGUCCCCUUAAUCCAGAGAAAUUCUUUUUGGCUUAGAUGGGAGGAAAAAAUCAGUCCCUUAAGGGGAAAGCAAGAAGAGAAGGAGGUAAUAAGGAUGUGAGUCAGACGCAGGGAAUGGCUGGCAAAGGCAUUUGUUUCACGAGGCGGAGGAGUGCUGUUCUCAGUUGAUCGAACGUUGUGGACCCCUGGUAAAGCCUGCCUGCUUCUUACUGAUUUCUUUCUUCAGUUAUGAUAAAAUUUUGACUCCAUUAAGUGGGGGCAAGGGGGAGAAAUGGAGACCCAGCAUUUCUCUUUCUCCGACUGACUGCUUAGUAGAAACAAGAUGAUGCAUGAGGCCCCUCAAGACAUCUGGGGAUGAGGGUGAUGAGUGGUCAGACUCAUCCCCACCAGUCAUCCCAAAUUUUCUGCCACGUUCUGCGUUCCUGUGUUUAAAUGGACAAGUUACUCUUCCCAGGAGAGAGAGGGCAUUGGUGAGCAUCUCCUGGAGAAGCUGCCCAGUUCACAGCACCAGCUCCUUCUUGGGACCCCUCCUGACCCAGAGGGGUGCUCGAGGAAGCUAUGUCUUACCACCCUUGGCUGCGAAGUGGACACCCAGCUCUGGAACAAUAGAGUGUCUCUUCAGAACAUUAAAUCACUGGAGAAUUGUACAGACUAGGAUUUGUUAGAGUUAAAUCUCUUUAAUGGCAAUGUUCUACAGUGGUGGUCACUGAACAUUUUUUUUUCAUUAUGCAUGGGUUAAAAAAAAGUGGGACAUGCAUUCCCAAUAUAUAUUUAUUUAUUUUUGUGUUAUACAUAUCUACUAUUAUUACUAGCUAAUAUCUCAAAGCACACUACAUAGUUAGGGUUUUUUAAAAUGAAAAGUAAAUAUGACCCCAGUAGCAACAUACACUAAUGCCUAAUGCCUGGAUCUCAGUUUCUAACACCAUUCUCCAAUAAAAAGAAGCAGGACUCCUUGGAUAAAUGGUUU
ensembl:lncRNA